rnacentral:sRNA from 1 species
GCCGGGUGAGGUAGUGCAUGCCUGUAAUCCCAGCUACCUGGGAGGCUAAGGGAGGAGGAGGAUCACUUUGAAGGCAGCCUGGGCAAUUGAGUGAGACCCUGUCUCCAA